rnacentral:snoRNA from 1 species
UCUGCCCCUAGAGGUGUUGCAGGUGUGACGGCUGUGUCACAUGUGUGUCAGUGGGUGGUAGAGAGGAAAGAGGCUGUGUAUGCUGUGUUCCCACCUGUGAACAUCUGAAUGAUUCCCUGGAAAA